UCUUGUUUUUGAGAAUAACUGCUAAAAGACAUAUUUAUGCAAUUAUUUUCAUAAACGCGCUUUUAUUAGGUACGUGAGACCAUGUCACAAAUGUAUAGUGUAUGCAUACCGUAUUUGCAAUUACUACAAAAAGUUUUUAUAACGGAAACGCUCGGAGAAACGGAAAGUGACUCAUGUAUAGCGUUUGUUCAGAAUUUUAGCUUUCUACACUUCAAUCUAGGAAUAUAUUGCAUCUGGAAUUGAGCGUUAUUGAAUAACAUCAUCGAGGAAACGGUUUGUCUAUUUGUUCUGUCAAGCGGCGAUAUGGCGUGUAUAUAAGUCUCGUCAAUCGUUUGGUUGGUGAAGAUGGGUAAUCCGGCAUUCAGCUGAACUUAGGACAAAACUUCACUUGGCCAGUUGGCAGCAAAUUAAAAUUAUUCUUUAAUGUUCAGCAGAACAGAGAAGUCUGACACAAAGCAAAACAAGCAUUUCAUUACUGCGAACUUACUGGAUCGGGUUCUGCUGUUUUAUAUUUCAUAGAGGAUUAGACUAGAUACGGAUUUGUUGCGGUCGAGAAUUAUGGCUGUUUCAAUACGCCUUACGCAUAUUGUUAUCCUAUUUACCAUUUUGAAUCUCACGCUCUGCAUACCUCCUGGUCCUCCUAUGGGUCUUCAAAGUAACUUGGUUUUCUCAAAGGAAGAUAUGUUUCUUACACGUUUGCGCAGGCAUCUACACAACGAUGCAACCCAGCAGAUGAAUGUGGUUCGUGCAGACGGCAGAAUAAUAAAGAAGGCUAACAAGACAUACUAGGUAUCUAACAAGUUGACAUGUAAAGAUUUUAGCUGCAAAACUGUAGAAAUAUUAAAGACAGACAAAUAUACAUUCAUAAAGUGUAUUGAGAGCAAUCGUGAACACUAACAAAAUUAAUAUACAUUCAAUAAAUGUAUUGAACGUGAUCGAGGUUUGUGUAUCAACAAAUAUAGUAAUAUGUUUCGUCAUUACAUAAUAAUCAUGACUGUGCUCUGUAAAUUCAAAUAAAUCUGUUUAACUGUUCUAAACAAAGAUUAACAAUUAAAUUAUUUUAACUCUU